rnacentral:rRNA from 1 species
AACGAACGCUGGCGGCAGGCCUCAAACAAUGCAAGUCUAAGGGGGGUGCAGCAAUGCAUCACCGGGCGGACGGGUGCGUAACGCGUGGGAAUAUACCCUUUUGGUUCGGAACAACUGCGGGAAACUGCAGCUAAAUACCGAAUGUGCCCUAAACGGGGAAAGAUUUAUCGCCGAAAAGGAUUAAGCCCGCGUAGGAUUAGCUAGUUGGUGAGGUAAUGGCUCACCAAGGCUCCGAUCCUUAGCUGCCUGAGAGGAAGAUCAGCCACACUGGGACUGAGACACGGCCCAGACUCCUACGGGAGGCAGCAGUUGGGAAUCUUGGACAAUGGGGGAAACCCUGAUCCAGCCAUGCCGCGUGAGGGAUGAAGUAUUUCGGUA